AAGGAUCAUUAAUGAUUGCGAAUGGUCACCUUCAGUGCUGGCUCGCAAGAGCAAGUGCACGUUGGUGGCUUUCAUCCAAUUCCACACCCUGUGAACCUUUGGCCUCUUGCUAGCCUCGGCUGGCAGAGGAUUUUUAUACACACACUCGAAUGUAAUGAAAACUAUUGUCGUGCGCAAGCACUAAUGUACAACUUUCAACAACGGAUCUCUUGGCUCUC
rnacentral:misc_RNA from 1 species